AGCUCUGGAUGUCAGGGCUACAGACCUAAAUCUGACUCCACCAUGGGUUUGGGAUGAACAUCUUUUUAUAUUCUAUCGUUAUAUAACUUACAUAUUAAUUAUUAAACUUACAUUGUUCUAUUGUAUACGUUGAUUUCAUCCAAGCAUAGGUUUCUCAUGAUCCCCCUCAAACCCUUGAACAUAGUUUCUCAUUAUUCUUCUUAUGAUUAAACAAUAAUUACAUCUAAACAAUCAUCACAUCUAACAAUUAUAUCAUUUAUCAUACACUGGUUACGCAGGUGCAAUUUCACAUGGUCUGGCAAACACAAGGCCUAAUGUUUCCCAGGGCCUAUUUUCAAUAUGUUCCCAGGGCCUACUAAGCCUAACUUUCUUUCUAACUCCCUGAAUAUUCUAUGAUUUUAAAAUCUUUUACUAUCACAGGGAUCCCCACCCAGGACAUCCAAGCCAUGCGUCCCUAAUCCCAGCUGUCACAUCCCCCACUCCACAUCAGGUCACAAUCACCAGCUGGAUGGGCACCUCAUGUUCCGGGCACUCAGCCCAGAGCUGGUCCUGGCUGUGACACCAUAGGGUCAAAGGAACAUAGGGGGGGUCACAUGGAGUCCCUUGGGGGCUGCAGCACCCCUGGGCUUCUGGGUGACCCCAGUGUGUCCCCCUCUGUCUCCAGCAGUGGCCACAUGCUGCCAGGAAGCCCCAGGAGAGGGCCUCCCAGUUGCUGUGGAGGAGAGGGAGUUGCUGGAUACCAAAGAUGUGAUCACCAAGAGGGCAGGGAGUGAGUAUAGGGGACAGAAUUGGAGUGAGUAUAGAGGGACACAUCACCCACAGGUGUCACCCCACCCUCAUCCUCCAAAUGGUGUCUCUUGCAGGGCCCCUCCACAUCUCCCCCCUCCAGCACCCCCUGGUGACCUACCCCAGACUGCUGUGACCCCAUGAGCAACCACGGGACAACAGUGACAUCUAUGAGAAUGUGCCACAGUACUAAGGCAAAGGGGGCACUGAGGGCACUGGAGGCACUGGGGGCACUGGGAUUUCCUCCUCCACAGCUCCUGUGGUUUCCCAUCCUGUCUGGGACAUAGUCACAACUUCUGGGGGGGUUUGCACAAGCACCAAGUGCUCCCCAUUCCCUACCCCAAGUACCUCGAGGGCUUCCCCUGUCCCCUUCCCAGUACCCCCAGGUGCUCCCCACUCCCCCUCCCAGUGCUCCCAAUAUCUCCAGGGGCUCCUUACUCCUCUUCCCACUACUUCUCUAUUGCUCCCAGAGAAUCCAGGGGCUCCCCAUUCCGCCCCUCAGUACCCCUAUGAUCCCAGGGGCUGCCCAUUCCUCCUCCCAGUGCCCUAUCUUGGUUUACAGAAAAAUUUAGGAGAAAAUGCUGUGAAAUGAGUGUUUCCUCUAAAGAGAAGGGCUUCAGUAGUCCCUUUUGCCAAUGAGUAAAAUGAAUGCCAGUGAGUGAAAGUGAAAAUAAACCCUCUUUAUUUACAAACAAAGUGCCCACACAGCACAGGAAAAGAAUUGAAUAAAUGCUAGAUAUUGAACUAUCACAACUUUACACAUGCCCCCAGCAGCACAAAAAAACCCAAAAUCCCAGGGCAAGAAAUAAAUGGGCUGGCUGUGUGGUAAAGAUGGGACAAAAUGGGGCUGGCUUUUGUCUCAGGGAAGGGAGAAACAAGAGUUUGUGCAGCAGCUUGGGCAAAACAGGUGGGAACCUGUUGAACUUCUAGCAUUGGUCUUCUCCUCACAGCAGAUGAAGCUAGUGGAUUUUGGUGUCCUUUCUCUUGAUGGUUCAUCUUUUCCUGAGCUCUUGGGCUGGCUGGGGCAGCCCCUGCAGGCUCUCGGCUGAUGGUCUAGGCAAUUGUUUGAUUCCAGACCAAAACUAAGCCCAACAGUUCAAGAGAAAAAUAAAACAGAAGCCACCAAAGGAUUGAUACUGCAGCCUCUGCAGGCCAGGGGAAGGAAAAAAUUAAAAACUUCUUGCUAACAAUAAACCAAGCUAGCUAAGCCACAAGAUAAUGUCUGAUCCACACCACCCUGCACCCAGCACUCUCCAGAGGGAGGCUUUGAUCAAAGCCAGUGCAGGAGCUCCCAGGCUCCCACCCCUCUCCCAGACCCACUUUAAACCUCCAGCAGCCAUUGCUGGGCAUAAAGCAGGUGAUCAGGAAUAGUGCAUCAUCAUAAAAUCAUCCCAAGACAUACCCCUAUGCUCCCAGUGGCUCCCCAUUGCCCCUCCCAAUACCAGGAAGGCACAGGACCCCUGGUAUUGGCCCAAGAUGCAGCUUUUGGGUUAAACUGGCAGAAAUUUGGUUUCUUUGUUCAGCUGUAACAGGCUUUAGGAAUGGGAUUCUCCAAUUCUGAGCUGCCACUAAAAACCAGGGGCCGCUGCCCCUCCCCCUCCCAGUGGAGGCACAGAAGGUGAAGAUCUCAAAGGGCUGAGAGAAGAACAAUUUCCUGCAAACACCAACAAGAGAACAAAACCAACAACAACAGCAACCAGAUUCAGAAUCCCAAGGGUCAGAAAAGAAAUGAUUUCCAGGGAAUGCCCCCAUCAAAAGCCCAACAUGGCCAGAGCGUGAGUCCAGUGGAGAGUGGACACUGACAGGGACCAUAGGGACCAGAACCAAGUGCCAGUGCCACUGAGAGAUGCUGUGCAGGACAUGCCGGAACUCCAGGACAAGCUGGAGUGCGAGACAAGCAAGUGGUGCCCCCAUGGACAUUGCCAAAGCCUUUGUCCCCAUUCCUGUGGCAGCAGAGGGCAGGACACAGCUUGCCUUGACCUGGAGGGGUGUCCAGAGCUCCUGGAACCAACUGGAAACUGAGCCCCACCCUGUGCCAUGGCCUGAUCCCGACUGCCCUGGAAAGGGGGAGGCUCUGGAAAACCCACAGGGCCUUUGUGACAACAUUAUAUGGGGAACACGGCAGAGGAGGUGUUUGGGACAGGGGAUCAGAGAAUCCAGAGCCUCCUGAAGGCCACUUUGGCCAUCAGAGCAAAGAAGGUCUGGGGCCUGCCAGAUCCUUCCUGGUGAAGGAAAUGUGCUGGGGGCAGCUUCUGGGGUUUGUUCCUUUGUGGGGGCCUUCCCUGGAAAUCGUUCCUUUUGUGACCCUUUGAAUUCUGAAUCUUGAGAAUUUUUAAGAAGGAUUGAUUCAACAACCUGACUGGGACCCUCCUCCUUCCUGAGCCAAACAGGGCAGAGCUGAACAAACAAAAGUCAUUCCUCCCAGUUUAAUCGAAAAUUUUGGGUCCAGUAAGAGGGACAAGGGUGCUGUGCCCCCUGGCACUGAGGUAGAGAAUGG